ensembl:snRNA U1 U1 spliceosomal RNA
UAAGAAUCCUGACAGGGGAGAUACUAUGAUCACGAAGGUGGUUUACCCAGGGCAAGGCUUAUCCAUUACACUCUGGAUGUGUGUUCCCCAAAAGUGGGGAACUAAACUGCAUAAUUUGUGGUAGUGGGGAUGGGGGAACUUUGUUGGCACUCUCCCCG